rnacentral:rRNA from 1 species
GUGAGCGCUGGCGGUAGGCCUAACACAUGCCAGUCGAACGGCAGCACAGUAAGAGCUUGCUCUUACGGGUGGCGAGUGGCGGACGGGUGAGGAAUACAUCGGAAUCUACUUUUUCGUGGGGGAUAACGUAGGGAAACUUACGCUAAUACCGCAUACGACCUACGGGUGAAAGCAGGGGAUCUUCGGACCUUGCGCGAUUGAAUGAGCCGAUGUCGGAUUAGCUAGUUGGCGGGGUAAAGGCCCACCAAGGCGACGAUCCGUAGCUGGUCUGAGAGGAUGAUCAGCCACACUGGAACUGAGACACGGUCCAGACUCCUACGGGAGGCAGCAGUGGGGAAUAUUGGACAAUGGGCGCAAGCCUGAUCCAGCCAUACCGCGUGGGUGAAGAAGGCCUUCGGGUUGUAAAGCCCUUUUGUUGGGAAAGAAAAGCAGCAGGUUAAUACCCCGCUGUUCUGACGGUACCCAAAGAAUAAGCACCGGCUAACUUCGUG